UACGUAGGUGGCAAGCGUUGUCCGGAUUUACUGGGCGUAAAGGGCGUGCAGGCGGUUUGUUAAGUUCAGGGUGAAAGCUCCCGGCUCAACUGGGAGAGGUCCUUGGAUACUGGCAGACUUGAGGAGGGUAGAGGAGAGUGGAAUUCCCGGUGUAGUGGUGAUAUGCGUAGAUAUCGGGAGGAACACCAGUGGCGAAGGCGGCUCUCUGGGCAUUAACUGACGCUGAGGAGCGAAAGCAUGGGGAGCGAACAGG
rnacentral:rRNA from 1 species